AUGUGGACCCGUCUUCGUCAGCGCUAUGAGCCCUCUGGUGAUGCCUUAUACCUUUCUGUGGUCCGUCAGGAGCAUGCUCUUCAGCAGGGUGACUCUACUGUUGAUGACUUCUAUGCACAGAGUUCUGCUAUCUGGCGCCAGCUCGAUUCUCUCCGCAGUGCUGGUUGUCGUUCUUGCCCCUAUUGCCAAGCUGUCCAGGCCAAUUUGGAGUUUCAUCGCGUCUACGAGUUCCUGUCUCGGCUCCGUAAGGAGUUUGAGCCCCGGCGUGCUCAGUUGUUUGCUCGUGGUCGUAUUUCUCUCAUGGAGGCGCUUUCAAAGAUUCGUGCUGAGGAGACUCGCUUACGUGGUGCUGGUUUGCUGGAGGUUCCCUCUGUGCUCGCUACUCGGGCUUCUUCCACUCCACCUGCUGCACCGACCCCUUCUCGCUCGAGUGCUCCGCCGCUCUUGCCCACUCCUUCUGGAGGCUCAGGUCGCCCCCAUCCACAUUGUGACUACUGCAACAAUGAUGGUCAUAUUGAGUUCCAGUGCUACACGAAGUGGAAACACCUGCGCAAGGCGCGAUCAUCAUCUUCAGGGACUUCGUCAUCUACCUCGACAGCUUCAGCCAUUGCUUUGACUGAGCAGGAUAUUCUGGGACUUAAGCGUCUGCUCGCGGCUUCAGGUUCUUCUCGACGGGUACUGCUGAUUCUGUGA
rnacentral:rRNA from 1 species